rnacentral:rRNA from 1 species
AGUGAACGCUGGCGGUAGGCCUAACACAUGCAAGUCGAACGGCAGCACAGAGGAGCUUGCUCCUUGGGUGGCGAGUGGCGGACGGGUGAGGAAUACAUCGGAAUCUACUCUGUCGUGGGGGAUAACGUAGGGAAACUUACGCUAAUACCGCAUACGACCUACGGGUGAAAGCAGGGGACCUUCGGGCCUUGCGCGAUUGAAUGAGCCGAUGUCGGAUUAGCUAGUUGGCGGGGUAAAGGCCCACCAAGGCGACGAUCCGUAGCUGGUCUGAGAGGAUGAUCAGCCACACUGGAACUGAGACACGGUCCAGACUCCUACGGGAGGCAGCAGUGGGGAAUAUUGGACAAUGGGCGCAAGCCUGAUCCAGCCAUACCGCGUGGGUGAAGAAGGCCUUCGGGUUGUAAAGCCCUUUUGUUGGGAAAGAAAUCCAGCUGGCUAAUACCCGGUUGGGAUGACGGUACCCAAAGAAUAAGCACCGGCUAACUUCGUGCCAGCCGCCGCGGUAA